ACUGCGGGCGCAGCGACAGCCGGAGGCGGGACCGCUGGUGGCGGUUCUAGCUCUUACAAGAGCUGUGACAGCUCCUCCACUCCGCCGACUCUUCCUUCUGCUCCGGCCACAGCUCUCCUGCUCUCCUGCGAGCCUCGCGCAGCGACCUUUAUACCGUUAGUUGAGCCCCGCCCCUACACAGGCGGCCAAUCGGAUCUCAAUUCACCCUAGUGGAUAUACGCGCGCCGCACCGAUUGGACAUCUCCACCCGGCCUGCCCCGCCCCCGCAUCCGGGGUCCACAAGCACGUGCCUGUGGGCGGGGCGGGCCUGACAGCCGCGGCUCAGAGCGCGCUCUGGAAGCGUCCGAGGCGCGGGCAGCGGAGUCCGGAGGUGGGACGGGGUCUGCCCGCGGGCCGGUGCUUGCGGCCGGACGUCGUGACGCAGUCGGACUCCGCAGCAGAAGCAGAGACGACUCCGCCGGCUGAAACGUCGCGCGCAGAGCCCGAGAGCUGAGUGCGCAGGGGCUGACCAGGGGGCAGGAGCAGACGGUCUCGGACCGGGUCGGACCGGGACCGGGCCCGGGUCGCGGACGCACGCCCCGGAGCCCCACACGCCUCCACUCUGCGCACCCUACGGAUGAGGCCGGUCACUCAAGCGCUAACCGAGCCCUGCACUUGCGCCCAGAAAUAACGCAGGAAGAAGGAGGAAACUGGGAGGUACUCGCGAGAACACGAGGCCCAGCCCAGUAUUUUCUUCAGAUUCAGCUCGGGUCUCCGGCCAAGUCGAGUAGGGACUCCUGGGCCCCUGCGAGGCCCCGCCGUCGCUAGGGUAAUGCGAGGACCUCGGGGUUCUAGAUCUCACGCAGGGAAAAGCGCCGAGGAGGCCCGUGGGUCUCGGCCCACAUGCCUGCCCCAGGGACGCGCGCAGCCCCGGCCUGCAGGCUUCCUCAGGCGCAGGCAUGCGGCCCGGGCAGCCGCCGGAGAGUCCCUCGCGGGGGAUCCCGCCCUCUCCCAGGCUUGGGGGCGGAUGCGGGGCGGGGGGUCUCCACCACUCGAGCGCCCCUGAUUCUCCUUACUGCAGAAGUCUCAGCGUCUGGGUUUUUGGCUGUCCCCCCCCCAUGUCCUGUCCCACCAAACCGUGCAAAUCUCCCUGCAACAAGAAGCCCUUUCGGAGCCAGGGAGCGGAAUACGGAGAGCGCAGCACAGAUGGCUUUUUCUCUUGGAGAUUCCACAGCAGUAAAAAGAAAAACAAAAUUCCAAUUAAUAUCGCAAUAAAUGAAUCUACCACAAAGGCUCCGUCCGGAACUGCCCCCCAACCUCUCCUUCACACCAGGUCUGCGGGGGCUGCUGCAGCUCCAACGUGGGCCACUAGGGGCCCUCUGCUCCCCUGGCCUGUGGGAGAGAAAACGUCUUUUUUCCAACUUUCUUAAUAAAAAAAGGUCUCAUGGGUAUUUUCCAAAGAAUAUCCCCAAAUGAACCAAGGGAAAGUAAAAGAAAUUUUUAAAAGCUUCUCCAGACAGCAAACACAGUUUAGAGUUGAAAAUGACUAAACCCUGCUCUUUGCUCUCUUGAUGGACGAUGGACGCAGCUACCUGGCUCUGGCCUCGGUUCCUUUUCUUCCCCUCUGAGGGGACACAGAGCAACCAAAAAUCAAGCUGGCUGGGAUAUGAGAGUGAGCAGGAAGGAACUCUACUGCCUUUCGUCCUGUAGUUCUUAAUCAUCUCUCAUGGCCUGACCCUGGGAGAUUCUCCCAGCUCCCGCCUCUCCCGGCUUUUCCUCCAACCAUCCUGAUCUCGGACUUCCCCUCCACUGGCCGGGAGGAAGGAGCUCCUGGUCCUCCUGCGCAGACUUGUGGGCGUUUCUGCAGUCCACCCUGAGGUCUCAGCGGCUGUCAGCUUUGGGAGUCUUAGCACCAACCUCUCCUCUUGCUCGUGUCUGUUCUGACUGUUCCUCACCUUCCCACCGUGGCCUCAGGACUGUCAGCAAGGCUGAGGCGGAGUCAGGAUCGGAACCCAGCUCUCUGGAGUCCCAAACUGUGGACUGCCGCUUACACCGCAAGCCCUCCUUCGGAGGGGGACAGAGACACGUAAAGUAACAGUGGGAAUAAGGACAGGAAGGUGUGCAUUUAAAAUGUUUGCAACACUGAAAGGUCUUGCUCGUAAAACCGAGCAAAUUAAAGUGUUUAGAAGAAAAUAUCUGUCUUUGCCUUCUUGGCUGGUUCAGAAUUUCGUUGAAAAGUACUGAUUUUCUAUACCUUGCAGUGUCCUGGUUUCCAAGGACUUGGGCUUCAGUCUCACAGGAUACCUCCCUUCCCCGUACUCUGGGCUGCAUUUCAUCACUGGCCCAAGCCAAUCACUAAGAGGCUCCCUGGAAUCAGCCUGACAGCAAACUGACAAGAAGCAGCGAAAAGACUGUUGGCCGGUACAAUCACAAGGUAGGAAGCCACUCAGUUGGGACAUUUUAUGAUGACUCUCAAUCCUGUAGCUCUGGAAACUGUAUGCUGAAGAUUCCCAGACUUCUGUCGAGGACUCACACCUCUUUCCAGCCGUUCACUUCACGUCCUCACUUGGAUAACUUGUAGACAUCUCUAACCUGACGUGUCCAGACUGAAUUUCCAACAUCCAUCCCGUAACCCGCAUCUCCAGGCUCUGCCUCUCAGCUGACAGCAACUCCAGCCGUCAGCGGCUCACACAAUGGCCCUGGAGUCAACCCUGACACUUCUGUUUUUUCAUGUACCCCACAUCCAACACAUAUGGAAAUCUUAUUACAUCUGCUUGGAAAAUAUAGCCCGGAUCCAACCCUUUCUUAGCUCCUGGUAGCACCUGGUCCGAGACACCAGCCUCCCCAGCUCCCUCAUUCUACUCUAGUAGACGCUAACGCCCUCCCCAGGGUCUGUGAGAUCCACACAAAUCCCCCCUUCUCUCUUCCUCUUCCCUGCCUGGCCCGUCUCCUUCUACGCCGGCUUGCUCGCUCUGCUGUAGCUGCCCCGGCCUGCUUGCUCUGCCGUGUAGACGCAAGGCGCACUCCUAACAUUAGAUUCUGACCGUCCCAAAUACCUUUCUCACACACCCUAAUGACUAAUUUAUUCACCUCCUUCAAGGCUUUGCUCACGUGUCAGAUUAUCAAUAAGCUCUACCCUCACCGCCCUAUUUAAUAUUAAAAACUACCCUCUGUUCUCCA